rnacentral:rRNA from 11 species
UGGAUCAGAACGAACGCUGGCGGCAGGCUUAACACAUGCAAGUCGAACGAGAAGCUACCUUCGGGUAGUGGAAAGUGGCAGACGGGUGAGUAACGCGUGGGAAUAUACCUAGAGGUACGGAACAACGCCGGGAAACUGGUGCUAAUACCGUAUGUGCCCUUCGGGGGAAAGAUUUAUCGCCUUUAGAUUAGCCCGCGUUAGAUUAGCUUGUUGGUGAGGUAAAAGCUCACCAAGGCGACGAUCUAUAGCUGGUCUGAGAGGAUGAUCAGCCACACUGGGACUGAGACACGGCCC